CGGUCUAAUUGGCUCAAUAACACACCUGUUCCCUGAAUCCAGAUAAUUCACUCAAAUUUUUAAAAUACAGGGAACAUUUCCUUCACAAGAUACCUUCUGCAGAAUAUGCUGUCAUGGUCAGGAACAAGGACUGGAGUACAUAGUGUUCUUCAUGUAAACCUUUGAGACGAGAACAUCAGAGCUGAUGUUCCUCAGGCUGCUCUGACCGACCUCUCUGACCUGCAGUCAGCAGAG